rnacentral:rRNA from 1 species
ACCUGGUUGAUCCUGCCAGUAGUCAUAUGCUUGUCUCAAAGAUUAAGCCAUGCAAGUCUAAGGAUAAACACUGUUUACCGUAAACCUGCGAAUAGCUCAUUAAAUCAGUUAUAAUCUAUUUGAUAAUUUAAUUUCUCUGUAAAAGGGGGAAGGAAUGAAUGUAUUUAUUGGGUUAAAAAAAAUCAGUUUUUUAGUUGGGGUAACUUGACUAAAAAAAACUUCAAAAAUUUGGUGAAUCACAGUAAAUUUACGAAUCGAAUCCUUUUUUUUUAAAAGGGGAUUUGAUGAUACAAAUGAGUUUCUGACCUAUCAACUUUCGAUGGUAGUGUAUUGGACUACCAUGGUUAUGACGGGUAACGGAGAAUUUGGGUUUGAUUCCGGAGAAAAAGCCUGAGAGACGGCUAUUACUUCCAAGGAAGGCAGCAGGCGCGUAAAUUACCCAAUCCUAAUUCGGGGAGGUAGUGACAAGAAAUACUGAUAUUGAUCCCAACGGGAACAAUGAUUGGAAUGAGAACAAUUUAAAAAACUUAACGACUAACAAUUGGAGGGCAAGUCUGGUGCCAGCAGCCGCGGUAAUUCCAGCUCCAAUAGUGUAUAUUAAAGUUGUUGCGGUUAAAAAGCUCGUAGUUGGAUUUCGGGAAAAAUUUAGGUCUUUAGAUUAGGGUUCAAAAUUGAAUUCUGGUUUAAGGGUUUAAUUUUUUUUUUUCCUUCUUUCCAUAGUUUGAAAAAUCAGAAUUAGUUUUAAAGCGUAAAGGCAAAAAUAGGUAUUAUAGGAAGGGUGAAAAAAGGAUUAAGGGGAAACUUUUAAUUCUUUUUUCAUACCCCUAUUUUACUUAUCUUUAUGUCUUUUUUCCUAAUCCUGGUUUUUUUUAUUAAUUUAAUUUCGAAAGGAAUUAGAUUUUUAAAAAAGGAAUUAUGGAUAGUUUACUUUGAAAAAAUUAGAGUGUUCAAAGCAGGCAUAAUUGUACAAUGAAUAUUACAGCAUGGGAUAAUUGAAUAAGACAGUUUUAUCUUAUUUUUUGGUUUUUAAGAUAAUUGUAAUGAUAAAUAGGGACAGUCGGGGUUACUUGUAUUUGAUCGCUAGGGGCG